GACGAACGCUGGCGGCGUGCCUAAUACAUGCAAGUCGAACGAAGCUGUUUUAACUGGUGCUUGCACCGACUUAAACAACUGAGUGGCGAACGGGUGAGUAACACGUGGGUAACCUGCCCCAAAGCGGGGGAUAACAUUUGGAAACAGAUGCUAAUACCGCAUAAUCACAGAAACCACAUGGUUUCUGUGUCAAAGAUGGUUUCGGCUAUCACUUUGGGAUGGACCAGCGGCGUAUUAGCUAGCUGGUAAGGUAAUGGCUUACCAAGGCAAUGAUACGUAGCCGAACUGAGAGGUUGAUCGGCCACAUUGGGACUGAGACACGGCCCAAACUCCUACGGGAGGCAGCAGUAGGGAAUCUUCCACAAUGGACGAAAGUCUGAUGGAGCAACGCCGCGUGAGUGAAGAAGGUUUUCGGAUCGUAAAACUCUGUUGUCAGAGAAGAACGUGUGCGAGAGUAACUGUUCGUGCAGUGACGGUAUCUGGUCAGAAAGCCACGGCUAACUACGUGCCAGCCGCCGCAGUAA
rnacentral:rRNA from 1 species